CAGAUUAUAGCUUAUAUUAAAGUUUAUUAUUUACAUUAAUAAGAAAAUUAUUUAUUUUAUCUGA
rnacentral:tRNA from 1 species